UAGCAUAUCAAUAAGCGGAGGAAAAGAAACCAACAGGGAUUGCCUCAGUAACGGCGAGUGAAGCGGCAACAGCUCAAAUUUGAAAUCUGGCCUCGGCCCGAGUUGUAAUUUGCAGAGGAUGCUUCUGGCGACGUGCCUUCCGAGUCCCCUGGAACGGGGCGCCAAAGAGGGUGAGAGCCCCGUACGGUUGGCCGCCUAGCCUAUGUGAAGCUCCUUCGACGAGUCGAGCAGUUUGGGAAUGCUGCUCUAAGCGGGAGGUAAAUUCCUUCUAAAGCUAAAUACCGGCCAGAGACCGAUAGCGCACAAGUAGAGUGAUCGAAAGAUGAAAAGCACCUUGAAAAGAGGGUCAAACAGUACGUGAAAUUGCUGAAAGGGAAGCGCCUGCGACCAGACUCGCGCCGGGCGGAUCAUCCAGCGUUCUCGCUGGUGCACUCCGCCCGGCCCGGGCCAGCAUCGGUUCCGCCGGGGGGACAAAAGCCCGGGAAAUGUAGCUCCCUCCGGGGAGUGUUAUAGUCCCCCGCCUAAUGCCCCCGGCUGGACCGAGGACCGCGCACGCAAGUGCAAGGAUGCUGGCGUAAUGGUCGUCAGCGACCCGUCUUGAAACACGGACCAAGGAGUCGAACAGCUUUGCGAGUGUUCGGGUGCCAAACCCUUACGCGUAAUGAAAGUGGACGUAGGUGGGAGCUUCGGCGCACCAUCGACCGAUCCUGAAGUUUUUCGGAUGGAUUUGAGUAGGAGCACAGCUGUUCGGACCCGAAAGAUGGUGAACUAUGCCUGCAUAGGGCGAAGCCAGAGGAAACUCUGGUGGAGGCUCGCAGCGGUUCUGACGUGCAAAUCGAUCGUCGAAUGUGGGCAUGGGGGCGAAAGACUAAUCGAACCAUCUAGUACUG
rnacentral:rRNA from 1 species